rnacentral:lncRNA from 1 species
GUAACGUGUGAUGGACCCACUACGUCUGGGCCCUCCUAAGUUUUUAAUUCUCAAACUUGUCCACACUGAUCUUCUAGCAAUUGCAGUUCUGGUUUUCUAACUCUGGCCCUGGCUCCUGAGAAAGAGACUGCUCAUAGACUUCUGCUCCAACAUCCCUGAAAAAAUGCAGACCUGAUCAAUCACUUGACUGAACUCUACUUGAAACACAUGGACUUUGGUCAAAUAAGCAUUUGCCACUUGAUUUGUACAGCAUUCCAACAAACGUCCAACUCAAGUCUUCUCUUGAACCUGAUCUGCAAGGUUGUUUCUGGAGAAAGAAAGAAGGAAGUGUGCCCAGGGCCAGAGAAAAGAGACCAUGUGGACCAAAGAAGAAUGGAGAUGGAGACAGUAGCUGCCUAACCAUUUUCCUAUUCUCAUGAGAUCCAGCUAUACUUGCUAUACUUUGUCUCAGUCAGAUUCUCCGUAAGUUUUUCACAGGGAAGUCAUUUGAAUAGAUGCCUGCUCCUGGUAAUCAAAACAUUUCCUAUUGGAGCAGUUUACUUAAAUGGGUUUUGUUUCCUUUAGUUUUUUCUUCCAAUUUUUGCUUUGGUGUUUUUAAAAUAUACAUAUGUUUAAAAUUUUUUUGAUAGUUAUGGC